UACGUAGGGUGCGAGCGUUAAUCGGAAUUACUGGGCGUAAAGCGUGCGUAGGUGGUUCGUUGUGUCUGUGGUGAAAGCCCCGGGCUUAACCUGGGAAUGGCCAUGGAAACUGGCGAGCUGGAGUCUGGCAGAGGGGGGUGGAAUUCCGCGUGUAGCAGUGAAAUGCGUAGAGAUGCGGAGGAACACCGAUGGCGAAGGCAGCCCCCUGGGCUAAGACUGACGCUGAGGCACGAAAGCGUGGGGAGCAAACAGGAUUAGAUACCCUGGUAGUCCACGCCCUAAACGAUGUCAACUGGGUGUUCGGGAAGCGAUUCCUGGGUACCGUAGCUAACGCGUGAAGUUGACCGCCUGGGGAGUACGGCCGCAAGGUUAAA
rnacentral:rRNA from 1 species